rnacentral:misc_RNA from 1 species
AAAAAAAAAAAAAAAAACUUCAGUAUUAUAGUGCGAUGUGAUUUCCAGCUUGCAUAGUUUGCCUUUCAUAUACUGAGCAAAAAAUUUCAGUAAUUAUGAAAUUAUAUGCAAUGAAACCUAUAUUGAGUGCUUUGAUGUUUCUAUAUGAAUUCUAUGGUUAUUUGGUUCCAUAUAAAGUACAAUUACUUUAUUACGAAGAAUAAGAAGAUUUCACAUAAAUUUAUAACUCAUCUCAUGAUAUUUUUGUAAAAUAAUUUUUUUUUCCGUAAAGUAAUUAAUUAUGAAUUUUAUUAACUUAACAAAAAAAAUUUCCUCACAUAAAAAAGCACAUAUAAUAUUUUUUAAAAAAUCUAAGAUAAAUUAUGUAUGGUAAAUACUGUUAAAAAAUUAUAAGCAC